CCACCUCCACCCACGUCUCCCACAGACCUCCAGUCUUCUCCCACCAUGAUCAUCUUUCUCACAUGUACCGUUGCUGUGGUUUUCCUCCACUUACUGGUUUUACUGGUCAGUCGAUGUGUCUCCAGGAAACAUGAAGAUCCCGGGUUUAAUCUUCAGAAGCUCAGACACAGCGAAGGAACUUCUACAUGUGUGGUUUACUCAGCAGUGAGGACAGGAGACGUCCAUCAGGGCCAGAUCAUCUGCAGAGCAACCAGGAGCAGAGACCCAGCUGCUCCUCUGCUGGAUAAAGUUUGAUGUUUUAUUGAUGCUCAUGAAAUAAAUGUUCACAUACUGACUGGAGUUAGAAAGAAAUCCAGUUUUAGUCAGAACUGAUGUGUGACUGUCUCAGAUUCUUCAUCCUGGUGCAUCACAGCUCCAGUGAUGUUUUCCUGAAGCUCCAGGCUGAGGUGACCUGUGAACAUCUAGAUGCUUUAAACCAGGUCAUCUCCUGCAGCUCUGAGGAGAUCACCUUCUGAGACAGAGACUGU